rnacentral:rRNA from 1 species
GACGAACGCUGGCGGCGUGCUUAACACAUGCAAGUCGAACGAUGAAGAAAAGAAUCGAAGCUUCGGCAGAAAUUCAUUUCGGAUUAGUGGCAGACGGGUGAGUAACGCGUGAGCAACCUACCUCUUACAAAGGGAUAGCCUCGGGAAACCGGGAUUAAUACCAUAUAACAUUGUGACGAAGCAUUUCGAUGCAAUCAAAGCUACGGCGGUAAGAGAUGGGCUCGCGUCCCAUUAACCGGAUGGUGAGGUAACGGCUCACCAUAGUGACGAUGGGUAACCGGGCUGAGAGGGUGAACGGUCACACUGGAACUGAGACACGGUCCAGACUCCUACGGGAGGCAGCAGUGGGGAAUAUUGCACAAUGGAGGGAACUCUGAUGCAGCGACGCCGCGUGAGUGAUGAAGGAAUUCGUUUCGUAAAACUCUGUUCUAUGGGAAGAAAAGGACUGUACCAUAGGAGAAAGCUCCGGCUAAAUACGUG